rnacentral:rRNA from 1 species
GACGAACGCUGGCGGCGUGCCUAAUACAUGCAAGUAGAACGCUGAAGAGAGGAGCUUGCUCUUCUUGGAUGAGUUGCGAACGGGUGAGUAACGCGUAGGUAACCUGCCUUGUAGCGGGGGAUAACUAUUGGAAACGAUAGCUAAUACCGCAUAACAAUGGAUGACACAUGUCAUUUAUUUGAAAGGGGCAAUUGCUCCACUACAAGAUGGACCUGCGUUGUAUUAGCUAGUAGGUGAGGUAACGGCUCACCUAGGCGACGAUACAUAGCCGACCUGAGAGGGUGAUCAGCCACACUGGGACUGAGACACGGCCCAGACUCCUACGGGAGGCAGCAGUAGGGAAUCUUCGGCAAUGGGGGCAACCCUGACCGAGCAACGCCGCGUGAGUGAAGAAGGUUUUCGGAUCGUAAAGCUCUGUUGUAAGUCAAGAACGAGUGUGAGAGUGGAAAGUUCACACUGUGACGGUAGCUUACCAGAAAGGGACGGCUAACUACGUGCCAGCAGCCGCGGUAAUACGUAGGUCCCGAGCGUUGUCCGGAUUUAUUGGGCGUAAAGCGAGCGCAGGCGGUUUGAUAAGUCUGAAGUUAAAGGCUGUGGCUCAACCAUAGUUCGCUUUGGAAACUGUCAAACUUGAGUGCAGAAGGGGAGAGUGGAAUUCCAUGUGUAGCGGUGAAAUGCGUAGAUAUAUGGAGGAACACCGGUGGCGAAAGCGGCUCUCUGGUCUGUAACUGACGCUGAGGCUCGAAAGCGUGGGGAGCGAACAGGAUUAGAUACCCUGGUAGUCCACGCCGUAAACGAUGAGUGCUAGGUGUUGGAUCCUUUCCGGGAUUCAGUGCCGCAGCUAACGCAUUAAGCACUCCGCCUGGGGAGUACGACCGCAAGGUUGAAACUCAAAGGAAUUGACGGGGGCCCGCACAAGCGGUGGAGCAUGUGGUUUAAUUCGAAGCAACGCGAAGAACCUUACCAGGUCUUGACAUCCCGAUGCUAUUUCUAGAGAUAGAAAGUUACUUCGGUACAUCGGUGACAGGUGGUGCAUGGUUGUCGUCGGCUCGUGUCGUGAGAUGUUGGGUUAAGUCCCGCAACGAGCGCAACCCCUAUUGUUAGUUGCCAUCAUUCAGUUGGGCACUCUAGCGAGACUGCCGGUAAUAAACCGGAGGAAGGUGGGGAUGACGUCAAAUCAUCAUGCCCCUUAUGACCUGGGCUACACACGUGCUACAAUGGUUGGUACAACGAGUUGCGAGUCGGUGACGGCAAGCUAAUCUCUUAAAGCCAAUCUCAGUUCGGAUUGUAGGCUGCAACUCGCCUACAUGAAGUCGGAAUCGCUAGUAAUCGCGGAUCAGCACGCCGCGGUGAAUACGUUCCCGGGCCU